ACAAUGUCAGCAUCCCGUUAGAUAAGCUAGGCCGUGUUGACGAAGGUCUUUUUGAGAAAGUGCUUCUGGAUUUCUGCUCUUUUCCCUUCUUCUCUCCGAUACGACAGCGAGGCAGGAGCCUGGAACGAUGGAGGUUGCUUUAUAUCCUGUUCUCUCCAGCCCUGGCUAAUGCUAAACCCGAAGGGUGCAUUGCCAAGGUCAGACUCUCAACGGAAACUUAAAAGAAAAAAAAAGAGCAUCCUUGGCUUACAAAACGAGUGCUUUGCUGCAAAUCCUUUUCUGGAUGCCGAGCGUAAGAUUGAACCGUUCUUCCUAUUUGUCUAGUGGCAGACCUGACUAUCCUUGAAGCAAAUGAAUGCCUCCACCAGAGAAGAACCUUGUUUGUUGUUGAGAGGGGGCGAGGGGCAGAGAGAGAG